CGUGGAUCUUGCCUCUGUCCUGUGCCGCCUCCACCACCUCUACCAUCAUGAAAUUCUUCGCUUUCCUGGUCCUGGCCGGAGUCGCCUGCUUGCUGGCCUCGGGCGCCAAAAUCUCGGGCCCUGAGGAGACCAGCGAGUUGCCCGAAGUGGUCUCCGAGGAGAGGGUCCCCGCGACGGCGACUGAGCCCAUGGCUGAUCUGAGACAUGGAGUCACCAGGGAACCCAUCAGCCCUGCCUCAAAGGAUUCCCUGAGGGACAAGUUCAAGGAGAAAUUGGAUAAAUGGUUCCACCGUCCAAACCUCUUAUCCAAAAGAGACUGAAGCCGGAGUCUUCUGCCGAGACGCCCAUGGAGACGCCC